GUGCAAAAUAAGUGUAUGCAAAUCGUUAAAUAGACAUUAGAUGCUAUAAAUAAGGUGAAUUCAAUUAUUGUGGCUAAAUAACAAUCUACUUUUCCUACGUUUUAGGUCUAGAAAUUGUCAAGCUAUUGGCAAAAAUCAUCACAUUUCAAGACACAAUUAUUAUUCAAGUCCGUUCAAAGUAACCGGAGAAAUACCUAAGUUGGGAAACCACAAAUUCUAAUUUAACAAAAUGAGAGGCGCCGGCGAAUUCUCAGAUAUCCAAACUUUGCUGCCCCUGGCGAUGAGCCCUCAAAAAUAAAUGGCAAAUAGCCCGUUGCGCCUUUGUACUUCUGCUGAAUCUCAAUAAUUUGUUGGCUGCUCCUUAGACAGUUCCUACCAAUCACACAAACUGUUCCGCCUGAUCCCCCACCAGUUAUUUUUGCUCCAUAGAGUGUCCCAUCAUGAGAUUUAGAGGAUUUACUAUGUUGCUUUUCUUGUACCAAGUGCACAAGCCUAUCCGUCCCAUCAGUGCCAAGUCCACACGCACUAUAGCUGUAAUGACACUGAUACAGCAAUUCACCAAGAGCAGUAAGUUGCUCAUCUGAAGUUGCAGAUGAUAGCAAUGCUUUGAAAGCCUUGACCCGGAAGUUUUCAUAGAUAGGAUGUUUAGCAGGUGCUCUCACCAUGUAAGUGCGCUUCUGAUCAAUUACUGUUACAGCAUCAUUGUGAUCAACAUACUUCUCCAAAAAUGCCUCACCAUGAAUGGAUUCAGGAAGCAUUUUAUGGUAAAGAGCUUCAUAUCUGUGUGGUGACAAGUUGCAUAAGUAAUCUAAGGAAGAUUCAUUUUUCAGUAGUUCAGAACCAUAGUCCUCCAAUUCAUCAAGGAUUGAUCCAUUAAUGCUGGGCAAUGACCUAGACAAAAUAGCAGAUGCCAUUGACUUUAUCAUCUUUCGACCCAUGAAGGCACCAAUUCUUACAGAUCCAUAGUCUGCACCGCCAACGCUGUGUCGUAUCCCUGAAUCAAUCCCCCAGAAUCGAAUAUGGCUAGGAAUUUCCACAAGACCAAUUACUUCAGCAGGCUGGCACACCAUUGCAAGAAGUUUGUUGGCUUCACCACAUACUGAAGUCAUCUGAUCCAUUACACCACAUGGAGCUCCAACAAUGUGAUUCUCCACCUUCUGGCAAAGCAAUGCCAUAUCCCUUGGGCUUAUGUUUAAUCCAUGAGCAGCAGCCACAGCAGACAUGCUAGCAACCUCCACAGAGGCAGAAGAAGAUACACCUUUGCCUUCUGGAACUGCAGAAGAAACCAGCAUGCUAAUACUAUCCUCAAAGCGUACACCUAGUUCUCUCAUCAAAACAAGAAUUGACCCUGCAACAUAAGCCGCCCACUUUUGUGAUGGGUCUUGGGCAAAAUAUUUCCUUGCCUUCUCAUAUGAAAUUGGCUGGUUGCCCUCCAUAAAAUCAGAUAAAUCCAUGUCAAAAGUUGGGCCACGAUUGCUUAACUCUGAACCAUAAGAUACAAUUUGCAGAACAGGAGUGGGUCCUUGUCCUUUUGCAUUUUGCCGAGCCUCAGCAUGUUUCCAAAGCCUGUGUUUGCUUGGAUGAUUCCUUUGAACAGCAACAUGGCAAGCUUCUCUUAUGGGCAUCUGCAAGACAAGACUUCCUGAAUAAUCAGCAAUCCCUCCCAUUACAUCCAGCCUGCCAGGUGCUCUUGUUACAAAAAUAUGUUCCUCCCAAUUAAAGAGUCCUGCAGCAGCCUUAUGCUCCCGCAUCUGGAGCUUCUCAGUAUUCUUUUCAGAGUCAUAUACAGAAUCUAGCUCUAAUAAACUCUUUAAGAAACUCGUGGUAUCUGAAAGACCUUGAAGAUCUCCAUGAAGAAUCUCAAAAUCUCCAGUCCAAGCGCUUGUUGGUAGUCCAUCCUCAUUUGUAUGUGCAACUGGUGACCCAGUAGACUUGCUAAGUUCAUUUUCAGCAUUUGCAUACCAUUCUGGAAUGCUGAUAUCUCGUCCAGCCACCCUCUGUAAUUGAUACCCAAGAACUAUGGCAUCCCGCAAUCUCCUUGACCCACUUAACUUAUCGGAAGUAUAGUUUUUCCCAAUAGCAGUCUCCUGUAAUAUAUGAGCUGCCACCUCGCCACCAUUUACGCCACCCUCGUAACAUGGUUUCAAACUAACUGCACGUUCAAGGUAAGGUUUCCAAUGACCAGUAAGUAAAUCUCUCCUAAUCAUCUCAACACCACUCUGAUAAUACUCAAGCAUAUUUCUCAAAAAGGGUUCUUCAUUGAAAUAAUCUCUUCGUACAAAGACAAAUGGUAACUUGUACGCAAGGGCUUCACUGCAAGUACCAUAUCCAAUUUUUCCUGAGAUAAUGGAAAUCCCAUUAAUUUUGAUUUCUAACCAUUUAAAUUAGUCAGACACCAUAAAUUUUCAUACAAACCCAGCAUGCAGUCAGAUGCUGCAAUCAGAUCAGGUGUAUACGCAUCUUUUGCAAGCUUUAUGAAAUUCGGCGGAAGCUCCUGGCUAUCAGAAGCACCACAAACCUGGAUUAAAUAACAAUAAUGUGGCAUUAACAAAUUCUUCAUUGUACAUUGUCAAAGUGAAUUUCGCGUAAAGAUUAUGCUACAAAAGCUACCAAGCAUAGCCAACCAGAAGGCAAGUACUCCUCCUUCAACUUCCAGCCAGAUGGCUGUCCACCAAAAUUAAGGAUAACUAGCUUCACAUGAUUACUGAUGCCAAGUUCCUUUCUCACCUCCUUGCGGGAUUUGUGCAACCUCCUCACAACAAGAGGUACAUCAAUGACAUCACGGAAAGCAGGCAUUGGGCAAUAUCCUGGGAGGCGGAUUAAGAACUCACAAUGAGAAUAAUCCUCAGCAAUCUGCCACACUAUUGAACGAUGAUGGUAUCCAGCGGCCAUCACAUACUCUGCAUAGAUGAAGUCCCAACUGAAGUUGGUGACACAAACAGAUCUAAUUCCAGCAUCAGCUGCUGCACGGCAUGCAACUGGAACAACAUCUGACACCACUAGGUCAGCUUUGAUAGAGUGAAGCCACUGUGUUUCUGUUGCUAAAAUAGAGUCCCGAGGUUUUACAGCAGUCUCUGAAUACUUCUCUAAUGAAGCAAGACGAUCCACUGUCAAUGCAUCUGCCUGAACUGCUCCGCAGUCCAAUAGCACCUUGCGGAUGAAUAGCCGAGGGGACUGUAUCUCAGAAGUGAACACAAAGUCAGGUGCACCAGUGACCACGUGCACAUCAUGCCCAGCAAGAAUUAAGUUCCUGACGACCUCGACAACCCGAGUGGCAUGGCCAAAACCAUGGCCAGUGACAUAAUAAGCGAAAACCAGGUGAUUCCUGGAAGCUGAUACUCUUUCGCUCUCUUCAAUUCUCAUCGUUGGACUUUCGCGGAUUGGGUUUGAAUUGGCUAUAUUCGUCUGAUGAGUGAGAUUUAUUUGGAAGGGAAGGUGACGGCUGCCCACGUCCGGAUUUUGAUCGAUAAGAAUGUAGAUUGCAUAGAAAACUAGAGAGAGAUAGCUCCUUUUUUGGACUCUACCAAGGUCAAUUUCUGCCGUUUACUUGCCCCAGUAGUUCAGGCGAUAUUUUCGAAUGCAAUCAGCAGAAGAUUAACAUCAAUUUGAAAAUUU
rnacentral:misc_RNA from 1 species